rnacentral:rRNA from 1 species
UGGGGAAUAUUGCACAAUGGGCGAAAGCCUGAUGCAGCAACGCCGCGUGAGUGAUGAAGGCCUUCGGGUUGUAAAGCUCUGUCUUUUGGGACGAUAAUGACGGUACCAAAGGAGGAAGCCACGGCUAACUACGUGCCAGCAGCCGCGGUAAUACGUAGGUGGCAAGCGUUGUCCGGAUUUACUGGGCGUAAAGGAUGCGUAGGCGGAUUUUUAAGUGAGAUGUGAAAUACCCGGGCUUAACUUGGGUGCUGCAUUUCAAACUGGGAAUCUAGAGUGCGGGAGAGGAGAAUGGAAUUCCUAGUGUAGCGGUGAAAAUGCGUAGAGAUUAGGAAGAAACACCAGUGGCGAAAGGCGAUUCUCUGGACCGUAACUGACGCUGAGGCAUGAAAAGCGUGGGUAGCAAAACAGGAUUAGAUACCCUGGUAGUCCACGCCGUAAAACGAUGAGUAACUAGGUGUAGGAGGUAUCGACCCCUUCUGUGCCGCAGUUAACACAAUAAGUACUCCGCCUGGGAAGUACGAUCGCAAGAUUAAAAACUCAAAAUG